UUCGGUUUAGGUUGAUUUGGUACCGACCUUGCUCCCAAGAUAAUAGCAAUGGAAAGCAGCAUUAGCUUCUGCUAUGAGCAAACAUCGCAAAACAGUGGCUUCAAGCAACAACCAUUGUCUUUAGUUCACUUACAUGAGUCGGCUGGAUGUUUCUUCUCGUACGUCUGCGGUCAUCUGGUGGGCCCGCAGGUGGUUGGGUAAUUCAUCGAGAUGGCCUCCUUUGCAGGUCUGGUGGCUGGAAGUCUUCUUGGCCUCUAGGGGUCUCCCAUGGUCUCCAGGCUUCCAGCAGGCCAUCCCAAGCUUCAUCCCAAGGAUACGAUAUUGCAUCUAUGUCUUGGUAUUCUUUAAAUACCUCUUCCCCGUGACACUUUUUCAGACUCAUUUUUGAUAACCUUGACCUUUCCAAGGAAUUCUGGUCAAGGGUUUUGUAGGAUUCCCCUCUACUGGAAUCUGCCUCAUGUUUUUCUCAGGCAUAGACUAGCACUCUGACCUUCUGAGAAGAAGACCACAGAGGGAAAGUGCCGUUUUUAUCACAUUGUCGCAAGAAAACCUACCCUCUACGUGAUUUAUUGCUGUUGGUUUUGACUUUGAUUAAUUGGCUAUCAUGUUUGGUAUCUCCACCAUGAGGUUACUCCUGCUCCCCUUUCCAUACUCUAGACUUUGGAAGAAAAGCUAUCUGCAGGGCUCACACAUAAGAAGUGGAGACCUGUGGUUGCCUGCCAGAGAAUCCGAAUAAAUUAUUUUGAAUUCUUCUGCAA